rnacentral:lncRNA from 1 species
GAAACAGAUGUGAAUUGUGAGGAAAUGAAGUUAAUGGAAGAUAUUCAAGAAUCACCAGAUCAUAAUUCGAGUCGAAACUCAUUGGAUAUGGAUGGGUUUGCUUCUCAAAAUGUUGACAGAGUUGAAGGAACAACUGUGAACUAUGAGGAAAUGAAGUUAAUGGAUGAUAUUCAAGAAUCACCAGAUCAUAAUUCAAGUCGAAACUCAUUGGAUAUGGAUGGUUUUGCUUCUCAAAAUGUUGACAGAGUUGAAGGAACAAAUGUGAACUAUGAGGAAAUGAAGAUAAUGGAUGAUUUUCAAGAAUCUCCAAAUCAUAAUUCGAGUCGGAAAUCAUGGGAUACAGAUGGUUUUGCUUCUCAAAAUGUUGACAGAAUUGAGGAAACAGAUGUGAACUAUGAGGAAAUGGAUGAUUUUCAAGAUUCUCCAGAUCAUAAUUCGAGUCGAAAAUUAUGGGAUACUGAUUCAGAUUCGGAUGACGAUGAUGAUAUCUUAUUAGAACAUCAGAAUUUAGUCAGGC